UCAAAGAGUCAGGUUGUUUGGGAAUGCAGCAUAAAUUGGGUGGUAAAUCUCACCUAAAGCUAAAUAUUUGCGAGAGACCGAUAGCGAACAAGUACCGUGAGGGAAAGAUGAAAAGAACUUUGAAAAGAGAGUUAAACAGUAUGUGAAAUUGUUAAAAGGGAACCGUUUGGAGCCAGACUGGUUUGACUGUAAUCAACCUAGAAUUCGUUUUGGGUGCACUUGCAGUCUAUACCUGCCAACAACAGUUUGAUUUGGAGGACAAAAUUAAUAGGAAUGUAGCCUCUCGAGGUGUUAUAGACUAUUAUCAUACUCUGGAUUGGACUGAGGAACGCAGCGAAUGCCUUUAGGCAAGAUUGCUGGGUGCUUUCGCUAAUAAAUGUUAGAAUUUCUGCUUCGGGUGGUGCUAAUGUUUAAAGGAGGAACUCAUCUAGUAUAUUUUUUAUUCGCUUAGGUUGUUGGCUUAAUGACUCUAAAUGACCCGUCUUGAAACACGGACC
rnacentral:sRNA from 1 species